rnacentral:lncRNA from 1 species
GGUGUGAAGAGGAACAAAAUGGUAGUACAACCCUGCAGCAUUACUAAACGGAAUUGGGCUUGAUCAAUUUAAAGCAAAUUAUUUGCAUACUUUGUAUGCCCACAAAGAACUUCUGCCCAUUGCACAGUCAUUUGAUACGGGUAUAUCUAAAGCAAAAUGAGAAGUCUACAUUACAAGGUAUAAGACAAGUUGUUUUACAAUCAACUCUACCUAGUCUUAACCACAGUAGGACAAAUUUUUAGGUCACUGAUGGAAUUCUGAUUAUCAACUUCACCAUUCUCCAACAUAGAGUAAGACAUUGAGUAAAUAUUUGAACAGUAGAAUUUAUCCAACAUCAAAACAGAGGUUCUUUUUUUUGAAAUAGAACAUCAAAACAGAGGUUCUUCAUCAGAUUGGAAAAGGAUGUAUUUAGACAGAAACAUAAAAAAUGCUUUUAACUUUUGGCAUGCAUUCUUUCUAUAUAUCAUUGCACCAGAGGUUAUGGACAUGAGAGUAGAAAUUUUGAAGCGGCAAACAGAUCACG